UGAUAGCUCAGCCAGUAGAGAAGGAGACUCUUGAUCUCAAGGUUGUGGGUUGGAGCCCCACGCUGGGCAAAA